rnacentral:rRNA from 1 species
CCUACGGGUGGCAGCAGUAGGGAAUAUUGCUCAAUGGGGGAAACCCUGAAGCAGCAACGCCGCGUGGAGGAUGAAGGUUUUCGGAUUGUAAACUCCUUUUGUUAGAGAAGAUAAUGACGGUAUCUAACGAAUAAGCACCGGCUAAAUCCGGUCCAGCAGCCGCGGUAAUACGGAGGGUGCAAGCGUUACUCGGAAUCACUGGGCGUAAAGAGCGCGUAGGUGGGAUAGCAAGUCAGAUGUGAAAUCCUAGGGCUUAACCAUAGAACUGCAUUUGAAACUGUUAUUCUAGAGUAUGGGAGAGGUAGGUAGAAUUCUAGGUGUAGGGGUGAAAUGCGUAGAGAUCAGGAGGAAUACUGAUUGCGAAGGCGACCUGCUGGAACAUAACUGACGCUGAUGCGCGAAAGCGUGGGGAGCAAACAGGAUUAGAUACCCGAGUAGUC